UUCCUUCAGGUUUUUUUUUUCAUAAGGCCUACGCUGAGGUACAUUGGCUUCCACUGAGAGGUUUUAUGAAAUACAACGUACAUUUCAAAGGGGUUGUUCGUGCGUAAAGUGCCGUCUACUCCCUGCCGUGCAGUCGGAGCCAAGAUGGCAGGGCUGUCUUACUUUGAGGAUGCACAUGAUGACCUAGAUGACUUUGGGUUUGAUGACUAUGGAGGAGAAUGUGAUGGCAUUAGAAUUACAGCUUUUCUGGAUGCUGGCCAGGAUAAUCUGACUCCUUUGGGCCGACUGGAAAAAUAUGCCUUCAGUGAAAAUGUAUUCAAUAGACAGAUAGUGGCACGUGGACUUCUAGAUGUCCUGCGUGAAUUUAGUGACAAUGAGAAUGAUUUCCUCACAGUUAUGGAAACAGUGUCUCGGAUGUCAGAAGACUGUGAGCCUACAGUUCGAGCAGAACUCAUGGAGCAACUGCCCAAUAUUGCCAUGUUUCUGCAUGAGAGCCGACCAAAUUUCCCAGUAGCAUUCUCACGAUAUCUUGUACCAAUUGUUGUUCGCUACCUCACAGAUCCAAAUAACCAGGUGCGAAAGACCAGCCAGGCAGCUUUGCUUGUACUUCUAGAACAAGGUGUCAUUAAUAAGCGAGAUGUUGAGUCUAAGGUUUGCCCGGUGCUUUUAGAACUGACUACUCCAAACAGUGACGAUGACUACAAAAUUGAAGCUGUGGCUAUCAUGUGCAAGCUUGUGUCCAUGCUAACAAGGGACACGGUGGAGCAUCUGCUGCUGCGACGUUUCUGUGAUCUCUGCAGCGAUAGCCGACUCUUUCAGGUUCGCAAGGUCUGUGCAUCUAAUUUUGGAGACUUCUGUACAAUCGUGGGACAGGAUGCCACUGAAAAACUUCUGAUUGCCAAAUUCUUUGAGCUAUGCUCGGACACUGUAUGGGGAGUACGUAAAGCCUGUGCAGAGUGCUUCAUGACGGUGUCCAACUGCACAUCUGCAGAGGUGCGGCGUACAAAACUUUCUCCUCUAUUCAUCAAUCUUAUCAGUGACCCUUCACGCUGGGUCAGGCAGGCAGCAUUUCAGUCCCUUGGGCGAUUCAUUUCGACCUUUGCCAGUUCUGCUGCCUCUGGGCUACCAUUUAAGGAGCAAGGUGCCCUUUGUGAGAUUGCUAAAUGCAGUUCAGACAUGUCUAGGUGCAACAAUCUUGGAGAAUUGUCAGACACUCGAGACUCCCAAAAACCUCCAUGUAUGUCUGGAAACUUCACUAAUGCUGCCUCUCCACCUGCUGAUAGCUGUCAUGCCCCUAAAGAUUGUGUUAGUGCUGUAUUAUGUAACCAGGGCGCAGUAUCAGCACAUACUGUAGAACUGCCCUUGAAAGAGGCCCAGAAGAGUGAUUGUUCAGAUAUUUCAGAGGACCACUACAGUACCUUCAAUUACUGGAGACCACCACUUCCAGAUAUCAGCCUGGAAUUGGAACAAAUGCAAAGAGAGAAGGAUGAAAUUGAUGAACAAAAUAGGAAACCUGAGGACCCAGCCACCAGUGCAAUUCAGAAAGUUCUGGAGAGUCUUCAGCAUCGGAUGGAUGACCCAGAUGUGCUUGCACAGGUCCAGGUCCUUUCUGCUGCCCUCAAAGUAUCCAAACUAGAAUCUGAGGUAGAAGAGGAGGAGGAAGAAGAAAGUGAGCUUCUUCAGAAAGUUGAUAAGGGAUCACUUGACAUGUCUGUAUCUCAGCUACAAGAGGGAAAAGAGGAAUCAAUUAUGGAACCCAUAGUGCAAGAUGAAGACCAUCAUGCUUCUGAACAGACGUCUUCAAGUGAUUCUGACUUGCUGAUUGAAAACGUGCAGGAGAUGGCAAAGGAUCCAGAUCUGCUAUUUGAUGAAGAGAAGACAAAAGUUCAGGAUGUUAUUCCACAGCAGCUCCUUGACCAGUACCUGUCAAUGACUGAUCCAGCACGAGCACAGACAGUGGAUACGGAGAUUGCCAAACACUGUGCCUUUAGCCUUCCAGGCGUAGCUUUGACUCUGGGCCGGCAGAAUUGGCACUGCCUGAAGGGCACCUAUGAAACUCUUGCCACUGAUGUCCAGUGGAAGGUCCGCCGAACUUUAGCAUUUUCAAUCCACGAGUUAGCAGUGAUACUAGGUGAUCAGUUGACUGCAGCUGACCUGGUACCCAUCUUCAACGGCUUUUUGAAAGACCUUGACGAAGUGCGAAUUGGAGUCUUAAAACAUCUCUACGAUUUCUUAAAGCUUCUUCAUGCAGAUAAGAGGCGUGAGUAUCUUUUUCAGCUUCAAGAGUUCAUGGUGACAGACAACAGCCGUAACUGGAGGUUCAGAUAUGAGCUGGCUGAGCAGCUGAUCCUCAUUGUGGAGCUAUAUAGUCACAACGAUGUUUAUGACUACCUACGGCAGAUUGCACUAACACUUUGCUCUGACAAGGUGGCCCAAGUGCGAUGGAUCUCGUACAAGCUAGUUGUAGAAAUUCUGCGUAAAUUCUACUUGAGUGAGGCAGACGAGCUGGGCUUGAACUUCAUCAAUGAACUCAUUGUCCGAUUCUGCCACUCUCCCAAGUGGGUGGGAAGGCAAGCAUUUGCUUUCAUUUGCCAGGCUGUAGUAGAAGAGGACUUCAUGCCAAUGGACCAGUUUUCUCAGAAUUUGCUUCCUAGUCUCCUUGGGCUUUCUACAGAUCCAGUAGCAAAUGUUAGAGUGCUUGUUGCUAAGGCCCUUCGACAAACUGUGUUAGAGAAAGCUUAUUUCAAGGAGGCAAAUGGACCCCAUAACGAAGCUAUAGAGGAAACUAUAAUAACCCUGCAGUCGGACAGAGACCGGGAUGUGCGCUACUUUGCCACACUGGAACCCUCAAAAAAUGCCAUGGAUACCUUUGCCUUAAUUUAAAUGUGACUCCCUUUAUUUCAUACAAAUAAGAAUGGCUUCUAUACAUUCUUGGACAUCCAUACCACUGAUCAGUUGCUAUAGACAUUCCUUGCAUUGUGAGUGGAUGAAUCCUUUGCACAUUGCAUUAGCAUUUCCCUAAAAGCUGUGGUUUUUAAAUUAAUAAAAAAUGGUGCUGGUAGCAAAGCAAUCAAAUAAUACCCAUCAUAACUUCUGCAAGCUGCAUUGUCGAAGCUUGUGAUGGUGGACUCUAAAAAUACUCAGGGUAACUCAGGCACCAGCUAGGACAUUAGAGGACAAAAUGUGGAGAUAAAAUGGUGCACUUGCCAACACACUAGAUGGGGAUGGACAACAGGGAACUGAAUUGGAGUUCCCUCAGGAGGUGAAAGAGACUCUCCCAGUAUUUGAGAUAGUUUCGUAACAGUUUUAUCUCGUUUCCCAAGUGCUUCAGUGGCCUAAAUGGACUCCCGGGCUGUCAUGAUCUCUGCAUUUCUUGAUUGGAGUGUUUAUGCAACUUGAAGACAAAUCACAGGAGAGAAUGAAAGGUUGAUGUAUAAAAUCUGCUUUGGAGGACCAGCAGAGGGCACUGUACUGCCAAGAAAUGACGACUCAACACACAAGAAGCCUCACUGAAAACGUCAGCCUUGAACUGUGCUGUUAAAACACAUUCAUUAGCUGCGAAGGAUGUCGCCAUGGUAAAAGCCUCGAUCUUGCCUGUGCAUUGUUUGUGGUCAUUUAUGGAUUCAUUUAUUGCAACACAAGCAGCACCAAGACACUGCUAAAGGGAGAAAAACUUGCCUGAAUAAUUAUUUUGUGUAAAGCUACAAGUUUGGUGUUGAUAAAGGGGUAUUGGUUGGACAGUAACAGCAUCAGUGACGCAGCACCCAUCCAGCCGUACACCACAAACUGCCAUUUUCAGAGCAGGAAGUACGAAAUUUGAGCAGCACGCUACUUACAAAAUCGCAUAUGUAGUGUUUGUGUCUCUGUGUCUUAUUUUUUACAUUUCUGAUCUAAACAAAGAUCCUUCUACAGCUUUAUUAUUAAGUAGCUGGUCUACUUAGUUUUAUUUUGUUACCACCAAUGUGAAUCUUUCCUAUUGACCAAGAAGUACCUGGAAAAACAUUCAUCUUAAACUCUACAAUUGUAAACUGACUUCAUGGUUACUCUGAAGAACACAUCCUGGCACCUAUGAGCAGACUUCUACCAGUACCUUAAAGUGAAUUGCAGUCCAAUCGACAGAAAUAACACCUUCCAUGAAAAAGUAGACACACAUCUUUCCUUUUCUGUUCUUCUUCUUUUUGGAAGUUCACUCUGCUUGGUGAUUUUAUAGAGUCCCCUUGAACAUCUUGGGAGAUCAUUUGCUGGAAGAGCCAAUCUCCUGAGCCGGUGACUAAACUCAGUCUGGGAGAAGAAGCUAUACUUCAAGAAAGGGACUUUUAACACAUACAUUGUUGUGCCUAAAGGAGUCACACUUUGCGAAGGACACAGCAACAAGCCUGUUAUCAGUCGUGUGCGGUGGAAGGCCACAUCGUACCUGAAAGCAAGGAGUAUACAGAAAUACUGCUAACAAAGACCUCCAAAAAGUGCCAUAAUUCAAUUGCUUUUGAACAUUGGUACACGUCCAUUCACCAUUACCAAACCCACUUAGUCCAGUCCGGGGUUGCAGCUGGCAGUUCCACCUGGCAGCAUCGGGUGCAAGACAGGAGCCGCCUGAGUUCUCCUGUGUCACUGUAACUGCAGUACUAGUCACAGUUGUUGCCACACUUCCUAACUGUGCCUUUGGAAACUUCUAUCAGAUUAUCAGGUUUGGUUUUUUUUAAUUCUGUAUCCCCCAGCCCCCCUUUUAUGUCUUUCAAAAGAUGAUAUUUUAGCACCUGGCUGUUCUGUUAACGGUAUUACUGCUGUAGUCCUCGCCAAACAGUUAUUUUCAAGUGUAAAGACAGGUCUAUUUCACAAUGGUUAGAUAUCUUCAUAAAAUGUCUUGGCCUCCAUUUAAAAAUAAAUCUGUUCACGGUUAUUGAAUCUUUGUAUGUAUUGGUCAAUUAAACCAGCCAUCCUGCAACUACAGAUAAUGUAGAUGGAUCAAUUUUGUUCUUUUUACAAAACAUUUUGUUAAACCACUUAAUUAUCAUAAAUUGUGCAUUCAUGCUUGUCUGUAGUUAGCCUGUCGAUGUUCAUUAUUUUAACUAACUGGCUUAAGAUUACUCCUGCAUCAUCCAUAUACUGUAUAUAUUUUUGUAUUUUGUUACAACUCAUUAAGUUGCACACAUUCCUCCAUUUGUCAGUCAAGUUUCUGAGUGAACACAAUUCAGUUGUAAAUUUGUGGUUGGCUGAAGCCUAUCCUGGCAGCGUUGGAUAUAAUGCCGUUACUUAAACUGGCACACUGACCCACAUAAGAGAAACUUCAAGUCACAGGCUCGUUAUGGGGUUGUGAUUGGAGAAAAACCCGGAGGAUGAUUGGCUGCAGCACCCGUAACCACUACACCUCAAUACAUACAGAAUUCUUAAACAAUAACUAUAUACAGGUAUACAUAUUUCAUGUUACUGUACAAUUAAAAAUGGCCACCCAUCCAACAAUACAUGUUUAGGUGUGUCUUGUUGAGUUCAGGGUCACUGGGGCCUGGGCCUGUUCUGGCUGCACUGGGUACAAUGUAGGAACCAACCCAGCACUCGCUGAUAUGGGCACUUCAGAGUAAUUUGGGGUAUGGGAGGAAAACCCACUCAUACACGUGUGAAAUCCUGAACUAGCGUUAAGUGUACAGCCAUUGGUUUAUUUCAUUAUUAUUGUAAUUGUGGUUAUUUGUCAAUCAGCGUUUUGGGCAAACGAACAUGGGUGCAUGCUUAGUUUCAGUUAAAUUUGGUUUUAUUGUUGUUUCAAAGUAAACAGACUGCCAAACUGACAUCACAUUAUAACUAAGAUAAUCCAGUCAACAGUGCUAAAAUAAACCGGCCCACUGGACAAGCAAAUAUGACGAUUCUCAGUACCCGGUUAGCCAGUUCAGGGGGCAUGGGGAGGCGGAAUUUAUCCCAGCAUCAUCGAGUCAAUUCAUACUUGGGGCAUUUCUAUGAUUUGAUGGUGUCAGUGUCUUUAGCCCCCUUUUAUGGGGGUCUAGGUAUAAACACACUGGGUUAUGCCUUGAGCACGUUCAUAUAUGCGUGUAACUUGAAGAGCGGAGUUGACGCUGGACUUGCCCCUUGGGGUUUUGUGUGUGCUGAUACACAUUUAGUAAGAUAUGGUUGGGGCAACAAAAAACAGACGUAAAGAUCUGAGGCUUGGCACAAUAUCAGGGGAUUAAGCCCCUAAAGCCCCCCCGCAAUGUCACAGAAUCAUACCAAUUUACAGUCAGCAAUUAACUUGACCUGCACCUAUUUAUGAAGGUAAACAUCAAAGGCGGCCAUCGAAAGACCAAUGCAGUUCUUACUGAUCCAUUGGGUCGUAAGAGACCAGCACCUGUGAAUUUACCCAAGUAGUUGAUAAGAAAAUCACCUUUUGCUGUUUUCAGUACUUGGUUUCGUUUAGUUUAUUGAUUCUGCUUCAGUGAUAAUCACUAAUUGAUAUAAUGUACUGGACGUCAAAACCAGCAAAUAGUGAGAGUUUCUACUACGCCGUGGAUUUUAUUUAUCCAUAAACAAUAAAGCAAAUAAGGUUUCAUUAAAGAACUUGAGU